rnacentral:rRNA from 1 species
UACAGAGGUGGCAAGCGUUGUUCGGAAUUACUGGGCGUAAAGGGCGCGCAGGCGGCCUUCUAAGUCAGACGUGAAAUCCCCCGGCUUAACCUGGGAACUGCGUCUGAUACUGGGAGGCUUGAGUAUGGGAGAGGGAUGUAGAAUUCCAGGUGUAGCGGUGAAAUGCGUAGAUAUCUGGAGGAAUACCGGUGGCGAAGGCGGCAUCCUGGACCAUAACUGACGCUGAGGCGCGAAAGCUAGGGGAGCAAACGGG